rnacentral:rRNA from 1 species
UACGAAGGGUGCAAACGUUGCUCGGAAUCAUUGGGCGUAAAGCGCACGUAGGCGGCUUCGCAAGUCGGAUGUGAAAUCCCAUGGCUCAACCAUGGACGUGCACCCGAAACUGCGGGGCUUGAGUACUGAAGAGGAUCGCGGAAUUCCCGGUGUAGAGGUGAAAUUCGUAGAUAUCGGGAGGAACACCAGUGGCGAAGGCGGCGAUCUGGGCAGAUACUGACGCUGAGGUGCGAAAGCGUGGGGAGCAAACAGG